rnacentral:rRNA from 1 species
GUGGACGCCAGUCUGCAUGGAGCCGGCCUUGAAAUACCACCCUUUAAUGUUUGAUGUUCUAACGUGGACCCGUGAUCCGGGUUGCGGACAGUGUCUGGUGGGUAGUUUGACUGGGGCGGUCUCCUCCUAAAGAGUAACGGAGGAGCACGAAGGUUGGCUAAUCCUGGUCGGACAUCAGGAGGUUAGUGCAAUGGCAUAAGCCAGCUUGACUGCGAGCGUGACGGCGCGAGCAGGUGCGAAAGCAGGUCAUAGUGAUCCGGUGGUUCUGAAUGGAAGGGCCAUCGCUCAACGGAUAAAAGGUACUCCGGGGAUAACAGGCUGAUACCGCCCAAGAGUUCAUAUCGACGGCGGUGUUUGGCACCUCGAUGUCGGCUCAUCACAUCCUGGGGCUGAAGUAGGUCCCAAGGGUAUGGCUGUUCGCCAUUUAAAGUGGUACGCGAGCUGGGUUUAGAACGUCGUGAGACAGUUCGGUCCCUAUCUGCCGUGGGCGCUGGAGAACUGAGGGGGGCUGCUCCUAGUACGAGAGGACCGGAGUGGACGCAUCACUGGUGUUCGGGUUGUCAUGCCAAUGGCACUGCCCGGUAGCUAAAUGCGGAAGAGAUAAGUGCUGAAAGCAUCUAAGCACGAAACUUGCCCCGAGAUGAGUUCUCCCUGACCCUUUAAGGGUCCUGAAGGAACGUUGAAGACGACGACGUUGAUAGGCCGGGUGUGUAAGCGCAGCGAUGCGUUGAGCUAACCGGUACUAAUGAACCGUGAGG